GACGAACGCUGGCGGCGUGCUUAACACAUGCAAGUCGAGCGGUAAGGCCCUUUCGGGGGUACGACGAGCGGCGAACGGGUGAGUAACACGUGGGUGACCUGCCCUCAGCUCUGGGAUAAGCCUGGGAAACUGGGUCUAAUACUGGAUAUGACUCCACGGUGCAUGUCGUGGGGUGGAAAGCCUUGUGCGGCUGAGGAUGGGCCCGCGGCCUAUCAGCUUGUUGGUGGGGGA
rnacentral:rRNA from 1 species